UUGGUCCUCUCUACGUCCCCCUUACAGCGCUGACGUAAGACAGAGAGCGUGCGUAGGCGGCCAUCUUUGUGCACCCUCUCGGUUUCAGUUUCUUUUUGUGUAAACGUCACCGUUUCAGACCCGGGAUCUCCUAUGAUGUCGUCAUUUUGUCAUUAUAACCCACUUGUAACACGGUGAUUGGAAAACUUUUUUUUCGACAGGAAGAUGCUGGGGGCCGCCGCCCGGAUCCUGUGGAUCUCAAGACAAAGAAUCCCCCUGAACAAACUGAUCUCUUCUAGAUUAACCCUUCACAGAUCCUGCAUAAAUGCACCGAAUUCUACAGGGCCGAGCCGGGCCCCAAGGACUGAACUGUAUCCAGGGGCAACGAGGCACUGCAGCUCAUCCGUAUCCCCCCCAUCCUGGAGCGCGGUCUAUGGGGCGCGUGGAGUGAGAUAUACCAAUGGUGGACACAGCCCGAGGGGGUAUACAGGUUAUAUACAGCGCUCAGGUGCCCCCCCGAGGACCCCUCACACUCCUCCCGGGGGCCACAGAUCCAUCCACACCUCCGGCCGCCGCUAUGUCCUCUUACCACCUCACAUCUGGAUCUUUAUCAAACCGCUGCAGAAACUGAUGGCGAUUAUCCUUGGCAGGAGUGUCAGGAGGUGGUGGAAAUCUCUUCCAGCGAACAAGCGGCAACUAUUCAAAGAGAGCGUGAGGCGGAACAAGUGGAGGCUGUCUCUUGGUGCCGGCGCCCUGGGAUUUGUCUUUAUUCUCUUUUACUUCACCAACCUGGAGGAGACACCGAUCACUGGGCGCAGCCGCCUCCUGGUGUUCAGAAAGGAGGACUACAACCUGCUCACUAAUGUGGAGUACGAGAGCCUGACUGAGGAGUAUAAGGAGGUCUUGCUCCCCGCGGAGGACGCGCGUUAUCAGCUGGUGCAGAAGCUUGUUGACCGCCUUAUCACCUGCAACCACGACCUUCCCGAGGUGUCCCGGAUGAAGUGGACCGUGCACAUCGUGGACCAGCCGGAUGUCAUCAACGCUUUCGUGCUGCCGAACGGUCAGGUGUUUGUGUUCACAGGAAUGCUGAAUGCCGUGGCUGAUGUAGACCAGCUGAUCAUUAUUUUGGGUCACGAGCUCGCACACGCCAUUCUUGAACAUACGGCAGAGAAGGCCAGUGUCAGCCAUUUUCUGGACUUCCUCCUCCUCAUCUCUUUGGUGAUGAUUUGGGCUGUGUGCCCCAUGGACAGCCUCGCCAUCCUGGGUCAGUGGAUUCAGUCCAGAUUACGAGAGUUUCUCUUUGAGAGACCGUACAGCCGCACACUGGAGGCAGAAGCAGAUAAAGUUGGACUUGAGCUCGCUGCAAAGGCCUGCGCCGAUGUCAGAGCCAGCUCCGUCUUCUGGAAACAGAUGGAAGUGUGCGACACCCUGCUGGGGCAACCCCGCGUCCCGGAAUGGCUGUCCACCCAUCCAUCGCACGAGAACCGCGCCGACCACCUGGACAGGCUCAUCCCCAAGGCCAUUAAAGUGAGGGAGUCCUGUCACUGCCCUGACCUCCCCUCCAUUGACCCCAGAUUAGUCUUCGAGAUGUCCGUAAAGGAACUCCUGAAGAAACACGAAAACUCAGACCGAAAAGGGAUCAGCGUCGCCGCCAAACCUCUGGGAGCGGACGACAAAGUCGCAGUCACGGCCGGGGCUUAGCGGCGCGUUCAGCGUGGCACAAUGGGACGUAUGCGCCUUUAAAACAUUUGCCAUAUAUUGAUAUCUUAAUGGUCUACAGUUUGGCAAUCACUGUCUUAGGGCAGUCAGAACCCUUCAGACUAGUGAUGAGGGUCCUGAUGGGUCCCAGUGGGGUGCCCAGGUCGUUUAAUCCUGAAAGCCUUAAUAUAAUUUUUUUUUACAUUACGAGAAAAAAAAAUGAACAUUUUAGUUUACUGUCACUUUAAGGACAAUUUGUUACGAAUUACAUUUUUAUAUGCGCUGAUACAUUGUAACGAACAUAUCAGGACAGCAAAGAGAUUUGUGCUGCUGAUGUAUUCACACAUCGGUGUCCAAACUGGAUACAACUGAAGCAAACCCUCAGCUGUAGAAAGUACGAGGCCUUGAGAGUGUAAUUGAGAAUGUCCACAUUCACUGGAAGCAAGCAGAGAUCUCUGAACACUUCAGGAUUAAAGGGGUUAUCCAGGAUUAGAAAAACAGAGCUGAUUUCUUCCAAAAACAGCACCACCACUAUCCACAGGUUGUGUGUGGUAUUGCAGCUCUGUUCCAUUGAAGUGAAUGGAGCCAAGUUGUAAUACCAUACACAACCUGAGGACAGGGGUGGUGCUGUUUUUUGGUAUGAAUUAUUUCUGAAUAAUCUUAAAACUGACAAAAUAGUUUGAUUAUUUACCACCGCCCUGAUCAGCUGAUCGACCUCUGGAGCCUCACAGGACACUCCCCAGUCCGUCCAUAGGAGGGCGCUCUGUCAGCGCUAUUGUUUACUUUUUUAUGUCCCUUUUUUUAUAGAAGUAGUGCAAAAAAAUAAAAAAAAAACACACAAGUUGGUGUAACAACCAAUCAGAUUGCUGCUUUAAAAAGACAUUGCUGCAUUUAGAUUUGAGAAGGAAUGUAUAAAACAAUAGCGCCCCCUAUCUAGGUAUAGCAUAAUGAAUGUAACAUUCGGUAUCAUGGUGACUUGUCAUCCUGUAACGGACCAAAGCAAUAUGGCCGCCAUGGGACACCCCGAAGACAGGGGAACUGACACAGGACUCUGAUACAUUGUUGCGGUUUCUGCUGAUAGUUAAACAUUGGAUCACCUUUCAUCUUCCUAUCCUGUCUUAUACUCUAGUCCGGUGUUUACCAACCAGUGCGCCUCCAGCUGUUGCAAAACUACAACUCCCAGCAUGCCCGGACAGCCGUUUGCUGUCCGGGCAUGCUGGGAGUUGUAGUUUUACAACAGCUGGAGGCACAUUGGUUGAGAAACACUGGCCAAAGGAUGCCCAGGCAUGCUGGGAGUUGUAGUUUUGCAACAGCUGGAGGCACACUAGAUAGGAAACAGGGAUUUAAUGCAUGCACUCAUUAAAUGAGUACAUGCUGGGAGUUGUAGUUUUGCAACAGCUGGAGGCACACUAUAUAGGAAACACUGAUUUAAAGGGGUUAUAUAAAAAAAAAAGUUUUUUCCUGGAUAUCAACUGGCUCCAGAAAGUUAAACAGAUUUGUAAAUUACUUCUAUUAAAAAAAUCUUAAU